CGGGGUGUAGCUUAGCCUGGUAGAGCGCCUGGUUUGGGACCAGGAGGUCGCGAGUUCGAAUCUCGCCGCCCCGACCA
rnacentral:tRNA from 3 species